rnacentral:tRNA from 3 species
GGGCCCGUAGCCUAGUUUGGAUAAGGCGUCGGCCUUCGGAGCCGAAGACCCAGGGUUCAAAUCCCUGCGGGUCCGCCA